rnacentral:rRNA from 1 species
UGGGGAAUAUUGCACAAUGGGCGAAAGCCUGAUGCAGCGACGCCGCGUGAGGGAUGAAGGCCUUCGGGUUGUAAACCUCUUUCAGCAGGGAAGAAGCGCAAGUGACGGUACCUGCAGAAGAAGCGCCGGCUAACUACGUGCCAGCAGCCGCGGUAAUACGUAGGGCGCAAGCGUUGUCCGGAAUUAUUGGGCGUAAAGAGCUCGUAGGCGGUUUGUCGCGUCUGGUGUGAAAACUCGAGGCUCAACCUCGAGCUUGCAUCGGGUACGGGCAGACUAGAGUGCGGCAGGGGAGACUGGAAUUCCUGGUGUAGCGGUGGAAUGCGCAGAUAUCAGGAGGAACACCGAUGGCGAAGGCAGGUCUCUGGGCCGCAACUGACGCUGAGGAGCGAAAGCAUGGGGAGCGAACA